UCUCAAUCUCAUGACCUCAUGAUCCGCCAACCUCGGCCUCCCAAAGUGCUGGGAUUACAGGCUUUUCCAAAAUGUGAGGCAUAUGGAAAAUUCAGGCAACACCCUGUUACUUAUUCAUCACUUAAGCCAUGUUUUGGCUCAGAAGAUACCAAGCAAAGCUGAAUAUUACUGUAUUUCAGAAAGGGGAGUAUUUCUUCAGUGCUCAUCUU
rnacentral:lncRNA from 1 species